rnacentral:rRNA from 1 species
AGUGAACGCUGGCGGUAGGCCUAACACAUGCAAGUCGAACGGCAGCACAGUAAGAGCUUGCUCUUACGGGUGGCGAGUGGCGGACGGGUGAGGAAUACAUCGGAAUCUACUUUUUCGUGGGGGAUAACGUAGGGAAACUUACGCUAAUACCGCAUACGACCUACGGGUGAAAGCAGGGGAUCUUCGGACCUUGCGCGAUUGAAUGAGCCGAUGUCGGAUUAGCUAGUUGGAGGGGUAAAGGCCCACCAAGGCGACGAUCCGUAGCUGGUCUGAGAGGAUGAUCAGCCACACUGGAACUGAGACACGGUCCAGACUCCUACGGGAGGCAGCGGUGGGGAAUAUUGGACAAUGGGCGCAAGCCUGAUCCAGCCAUACCGCGUGGGUGAAGAAGGCCUUCGGGUUGUAAAGCCCUUUUGUUGGGAAAGAAAAGCAGCAGGUUAAUACCCCGCUGUUCUGACGGUACCCAAAGAAUAAGCACCGGCUAACUUCGUG